CAUCCGAUAUCGGAUUCGAUAAGAUGUGAAUAUGAAUGUCAAAAUUUGGCUUUUGAUACUUAUUCGUAUCUAAACUCGCAUUCGAAAAAAUUAAUAUAUAUAUAUAUAUAGAGAGAGAGAGAGAGAGAGAGAGAGAGAGAGUUGAGCUAGAAUACUGUCGAUAGCAAACGGGCUCCGUUGCCACCAAUUUGUUUUCGAUGAUGGAGCAUCCAAAUCGACGAUCGGCACCGUUGAACAUGAUCUAUACCACUUGAAGUGUUUAGAAAUCAAAUUUCAAAUCUUUGCGACAUCAUUUGCCUAAUGAUCAAAGGGUUUCAAAUUUUGUAAUUUUAAUGGUCGAUAUGAGGCGUUUUCUCGUUUAACGGCGUAAAGAUAUCCAAAUCAAUUGAAUUUUUGUUAGAAAAUUUUUUAAAUUAUUUAAAACAAAAUCUAUACUCUUGAUCUUGAUUACAAGACUCCUAUCAUCAUUUUUUAACGAAUAUUCAUUUUCAGCCGUUCAUUUUUGUGUCCACUCGAUGAAUAAGAGGAUAAUAUCGGAAAUGUAUGAAAUUUGAUUUCUAAACACUUCAAAUUGGUAUAAAUCAUGUUCAACGGUG
rnacentral:lncRNA from 1 species